rnacentral:rRNA from 1 species
UGAUUAGUAUAAAUUUGUGGCAAAGGAUGACUAGGAUGUUAUAAUCCAAAUUGAGCUUUCAAUCCCUGGAAUGGGGCGCUAAAGCGAAAAUCGGCAAAGAGAGAAGAUGAGGCCGAGUUCCCUAAGAACUAUGAAUUGAAACAUCUUAGUAUUAGGUUAAAAAUCAAGCGAGAUUCCGUAAGUAGUGGCGAGCGAAAGCGGAUAAGAGAGUAUUGAAAUCAAAGAGGGUAACAGUCCCGUAGAUACCUGUAUUAGGAGGACAAGAGUAGAAUUAUUUGAAGAAUGGUGUACCAUACAUCUAAUCCUAAAUAUUGUAACAUACCGAUAGUAAACAAGUACUGUGAAGGAAAGUUGAAAGAGAUGAUAGUGAAAAGAUCCUGAAAUUGCUACUUAUAAGCAGACAGAGUUGUUGUACCUUUUGCAUAAUGGGUUCGCAAGAGAAAUAUUUGGCAAACUUAAGUAGAAACGUAGGUGUAGUGAAAAUGAGUUUUAAUCGAGCGCUUAGUCAAAUAGAACCCGAAACCAAGUGAUCUAACCAUGGGCAGUUUGAAGCCUGCCCAAUAGCAGGUGGAGGAGCGAACCGGUGAUUGUGGCAAAAAUCUCGGAUGAUCUGUGGUUAGGGGUAAAAAGCCAAUCGAACUUGGAAAUAGCUGGUUUUCUGCGAAAACUAUUGAAGUAGUGCGUCAUAAGGGGCUCCUGUGGGCAAUAUCGUUCAUUGGCCUCGAUAUUCUUACAUAGUAAAGCACUGAAUGGAGUACCGCACAUAGUGAAGGUAAUUCAACCAAACUAUGAAAGUGUAAGAAGAAAGUAUGAUAGACAGACAGUGGGCGAGAAGGUCUAUUGUCAAAAAGGAAACAACCUAGAUCAGAAGUUAAGGUCAUUAAUAAUAAUACAUCUUAGUGUUUAAGGGGUUUAAAAUUUAAGACAAUGAGAAAGUAGGCUUGGAGCCAGCCAUCUUUGAAAGAUUACGUAACAGUUCACUCAAUAAAUAUUUUAAUCCCAAAAAUUCUGGUGGCUAAGUUAUCAACCGAAACUCUGAAUAAAAUAUGGUAGCAGAACGUGCUGUAUUAAGCGAGCGAAAGCUUUCUCAGAAGUGAUAAUGCGAACAUGAGUAAAAAACAGUGUGAAAAUCACUGCUCACGGCCCAAGGCUUCCAAUUAUAGGAUUAUCCGAAUUGGGUUAUACAGCCCCUAAGGGUAUAAGAAAUUAACAUAUAAAACUAUCUUAAUGGGUAUAAAUAAUGCGUGUUUUAGGCACUAAAAUAUAUAUUUUGUAAUACUGUACUAAAACUAACACAAGUGGGCUUUAAAGUGAUGGUAUAAUUUAUCUUAAGGAACUCGGCAAAAUGUCCCUGUAAGUUCGCAAGAAGGGGAGCUAGAAAAGAGUAGGAUGGGGUUUAUCCUGUCAAUUAUUUUUCUGGUCGCAGAAAAGAGGGGGUGUCGACUGUUUACCAAAAACAUAGCUUCCAACUAAGGCCAAGGGCCUGAAGUAUUGGAGGUGAGGCCUGCCCAAUGGUUGUAUCUAAACCCAAGUAAUAAAUAAGUUAUUUGGUAAAAGACAAUUUAAUGGCCGCGGUAAAUCUGACCGUGAUAAUGUAGCGCAAUCAAUAGCCAAAUAAUUGUUGGCAAGUAUGAAUGGCUUAACGAAUGCUCCGCUGUCUCAAGAUAAAUACCAAUGAAAUUGAAAUCGUAGUGAAGAUGCUACGUACAAGUUGUUAGACGAGAAGACCCCAUUGAGCUUUACUGGAGGCUUAUACAGUUCUUUACAUUAAGUGUGUAUUAUGUGGGUAACAACAAUUUGUUGUUUAUGAAAAACCACUCUUUAAUCUAAGAGAACUAAUAAAUUUUUAUUGAAUUUGGAAAAUAUAAGUUAGACAGUUUGGUUGGGGCGACCGCCUUCUAAAGAGUAACGAAGGUGCACAUAAGGUAAAUAAUAGUGUAUAAAAGCCUGACAGCAAGGAGGACUUCCGAGCUGACACGACCAAUUCAUUGUUUGAAUUGGCCCAUAGCGGGCUAUCGUGGGUUAUAAUGACCCGUUAGUUUAUAGUGGAAUAGCUAACGAUCAACGAAUAAAAGUUACCAUGGGGAUAACAGCGUAAUACCGUUCGAGAGUUCAUAUCGACGACGAUGUUUGCGACCUCGAUGUUGAAUUGCGGUAUCCUGGAGGUGCAGCCGCUUCCAAGGGUUGGACUGUUCGUCCAUUAAAACCGUACAUGAUUUGAGUUCAGACCGGCGUGAGCCAGGUCGGUUUCUAUCUACAACUUGCGCAGAAACAUAGAUAUAACUACAUUCUAGUACGAAAGGAUCGAAUGGUGGUUAUCCGCUGGUGAACCAAUUAUAGUCAUUAUUGUUGGGUAGCUACGAUAAAGUUAAUAAUCACUGAAUGCAUCUAAGUGAGAAGUAAUAUAUUAAUGUUUCAAGAUGAGACCGUUUUAGAUUAAAACGUCGAUAGGGUCUAGGUAUCGCUUAAGACUACUAAGCUCUUUUUACUAAUCAUC